GUUACCGUGAUGAAUGGUGACAGA
rnacentral:siRNA from 1 species